UUGGUAACUCUACCCUGUCUCAUUCCAUCCAAGUUACCAUAUUCAUAGAAAAAUAUAAUGGAUUGGAUGGUUUCUGGAAAAGAAAUAGUCAUUCUCACAGUUCAGAAGGCUGGGAAGGUCACAGUCAAGAUGCUGGGAGAUGCACAUUCUAGUGGGGACUAUUUCCUGGUACCCAGGAUCCGGGUCUUCUCACCACAUCCUCCUCUGGAGAAAGCUCUAGGUUCUCCUUUUCAAAGGGCACUAACCUUACCCCUGAGGGUUGCAAUCUUCCUUAGAACCCAAUCACCUCUGAAAGGCCCCUCCCCCAAUGAACACUUUAUUAAUUAUCUCUUAACACAUAAUUCUGGAGGGAAAGGAAAUGCCAAAGUUCAGACCACAGGGUACCCUCAUGUUUUUAUAGACAUAGGAGUCCCUAGCAUAAACACCACACUCCAACUACAUUGUUGUUGUUGUUGUUAGUUUUCAAUAGAAAUACAUUGAGAUUUCCAAGGAAGCCUGACAAUACUAACCCUGCCCCAGACUAACAAAAACCCUAAUACUAGGUAUGAGAAGCCCCUUUUCAGCUCUUUGUCAGGGUUGUCCAGGACUGCCGGCUGAAACAUCGUAGGCUAUUGCUGUUGCCCAGUUUGCCUCCCAGAGGUUAAAGGUAUUCCCCAUCGCUGAAGACACCAUUUAUUUCCAACACAGGACCCAGAGGAUCUGAGGUGGCUCUGACAUGAAAGCCUUCUCCCUGAAGACUACCUUUUAUACUCCCCUUGGAAGUCACCAUGCAUGCCUGCUUCCAAGGGAAGGUAGCAGCCAUUACCUCUACCAAGACAGGACCAUUACAGAAAUCCUCAACCAAUGGAUUAAAACGCAGAGGACAAGAGACUGUGUGGUACCCAGCCCCAGAUGAUACACCUACAACACAAUCCCUGUUCCUAAGGCUCAGUUGCAGGCCAGCAGGCAAAACUCCUGCAGACAGGCCUGACCACCACCAUCCCCCAUCCGACCCUGUCAUUUACAAGCCCCACUCCGUCCCCCAAACCCACCCAUACCCCAAGACCCCAGCUGCUCCCUGAGACACAGACUCUGCC